UAUCUAACCUCCCCUGCCUGACAAAAUAAUGAGCUCUAUAUUUAGGACAUUAACGUCAUGCAAUCGUCAGAUGUGCGUUGGGAUUGAUCUUCCAGGCUGCUGCUGUUCCAAGAAUGAUCCUCAUGUGAGAACCCCACCUGUCCCCAGCUUGAAUGCAGCAAUCAUGAAAGGAACAUUCAAACCAUCACCUGAGGCCGUGGAUCUUGAUGAGAGGAGCCAGAACAUAGGCUCGAAUGUCAGCGUUUUAUCACAAAGACAGUCGGCUUAAAAACAUGGUGUCUUUGAACUCUCCGUCAGAGCAGGAUGAAGAUGAUGGGACUUGUCGUUACCAGGUAAUUGAGUCUGAAGAUGUGCAAAACUAUAAAUUAAUUGAGUAAAUAAAAAAUGGAGACUCUGAAAGAAAUUAAGAAAAAAAACAUUUUAUUCAUAGAUGAUAAGCAGGGGCUAAAUUAUUGUCGCGAAGAAUGUUCCAUCACAUUUGCUUACAUUUGUUCACCACGUGAGGUAGUUUUUGUCGUGACACACAUUGUGCGAGACAAUGAGCAACCCAACAGCAUUACGUGCUUGUCUCCGACGGUCCGGAGUUCCGUGUGAAGUGCGUUUGGGUGUGCAUGUGUGAUGUCCCCUGUAGAGACAACCUGAGCCUUUAAUCCCAUUAAAAGGCAGAUGGAGGCUGUGUCAAAACAAUCCCCUCUCCAAAAACACGCUCGGAGAAGUCCCCUCUGUUUUCAACUUUUUGUUUUUGCGCAUGCCAAGCCUCUUCCAGAAAACAAAAUGACUUUUAUUUACAAUUCUCUUUAUGAUUAUCAGCAGCAUGGUUGGAUUUGGAACUUGACUGUUGUGACUUCCGAAAGUUCCUGUAGUUAAGACUGACCUAUUAACCUAUAUGUAUUUUGGCUGUGAGAGGAAACCGGAGUGCCAGCAGCAAGAAUUUGUGCACUGAAACACCACAGAAAGUACUCGGUAACCGAUAACAAGUUAACUAUCAGUCAGUCACUUGACCCAAAGUUGUCUUUUUCCAACAGCCAUUUCAAACUUACAUCUACUGUGACACAUUUUCUUUAAGCAGCAUUAUUCAAAGGAGGCACUUCCAUCAUACUUGUGUGAUGUUAUAGGUUUAGUAGCAAAGCUCCUCAGAAUUUUGAAUUUCCUCAUGAAUAAUGAUGUGAUGCACAUGUGGUGCCUCAUGACACUGACCAAGCUACCAAACCAGCGGAUUAGUUAGUCGCCUCACCUGUGAAGCAGGCUGCUCUUACUUGACCAUCUCUAAUGGAGCCAAGACCUCUUUACUUCAGCUCAUCAGACAUGCUAAGCAUGUUCACCUCAGACUCGACAACAAACCCUGCCAAGCUGUUUAAUCUUUCAUGUCCUUCACAGGUAAAGAAGUGAAGUGGCAUUUCAAUAUGAGGAUGUUGUGAGACAUUUUCUUGUCCUUUAGUCAGAAAAAAUACAUAGAAUGUUUGUUCCAUUGUUAAGAUCUCUUCAUAAAGACAAUGUUCAUGAUAACAAAUUGAUAAUGACCAGUCAAUAACACUCUUAAGUGAAUGAUGUGUAAGCAGGAACUGGAUCCUUCCUUUUUGUGAGGUUUAUGUCAGAACUGUAGAACAAUUGCGAUGCCUUUUUGUCUACAAUGAGAGAGGACAGUUGCUCCUCCGUGACAAAGUUUGUUUCCAGAUGUAUCGUUGCUAUAAUGGCACAGUGUGAUCUAUCGUGCAGUUGUUUGGUACAAAUAUUUUCUGCGGGCAAAUCAUCAAACAGUGAUGCCUUUGUCUCCUCAUUCUGAGAGAGUGAAAGUUGUAGUAUUGUUGGGAGGGUCCAUGUGCAAGAACCCCUGGAGCUGUUGUGUCUGAGUGAAGUCAUCCGCUGCUGAUCACAAGAUCUGCGUUUCUGGCCUGUUUGUUGAGGUCAUAGUGUAGUUAAACUGGACACACACAAACACACUUGCAUUUUACUGCUCCUGCAGAAAUCCAAAAUGCUUGAGGCUGUGAUGAUCUGGGUCAAUAGGCAUCUGAAGCCCCCUCCUCCAUCGAUGUGUGUGGACAGAUGGGGGUCAGGGAUGGUCCCACCUAGAAGCUCAAUAAUAUGAACAGGAGAAACAACACAUACACACACUGCACACAUGUGUGUGUUCUCUGUUUGUCUGGUGAGGAAAUGAAAUGUGUGUGAGCUACGAAGGAGUUGUCUUCUUUGUCUGUAUCACCAGAGAUACACUUUCUUUGUUUAGCUCUUCAUCUGUUUCUGCCUGUGUGUAUCAACAAGAGACAAACACAAAGUCUUAACUUAACUUGUAGAAGGUUUGAGGGGGUUUAGCUAACCUUGACUGAGUGGGUUGUCAGGCAGGCUCACCCUGGUCUCACACAUGCCUAUGGAUACUUUAGAGUCAUCCAUAAACGUCAUUUUGGACUCCAUGGUUGCACAGUGGACCGGCAGCUCUCUUGCUCUCCUCCCAUUGCAACAUCUAAUGCGAGGAACCGAUCUUUAAAUGGGAAAAAAAAACACAUCUGCAGCAGAGGAUGACAUCACCCCUCCGUCUGGUUGCCAUGGUUACACGUCUUCCCAUUCUUUCCCUUUCCGCUCACCUACUCUGCUUUUGUUCUUCCUCUCUCACCUGCUCCACUUUAAUCUCCUCUCUCGCUCACAUCUGCUCCUUCAGCUCGCCGUGAUUCCUUUGUUCUUAUUUUUACAACAUCCUGCUUUUUGAUGUCUCCCCCCUCCUGUUUUGCCUAAAUUGUAGCUGAGUUUGCACUUUCUGUUUAAGCCAGAACAAGAUGACCCAGAUAGACCAAAAGCCCAGAUGUGCCCACCACAGUGGUUUAGAUAUAGCAGAGGAUGAUGCUCACCCAGAUGUGAUAAAAGAAAUGGAAGAGAUUUUCCAGACUGAGUGGGUGGGGUAAGAGUGGAGUAUUACAGUGCAGAUGUAUUAUGGUAAGCAGCUUACACACAUGUGCUGGCUGGACAAUGAACAGAGGGCAGGAAGUCGUCCACAUGUGAGGUGUAAUUGUUGCCUUUUUUUGGCACCUCCUGAAGUGUCUCUUCCUCACAAAAUCAUCACCUCCGCCAUCAUUUCUUCCAGCCAGAGAGGGGCGGAGGGAGGAAGGAGGGGAUGGAUGGUGCAGGUUGCCAUGGAAACUGAGAGCACGAAGCCAACCUCAUCUGUUGUUGGGGGCGCAUGAAUAUUUGAGAUCUAUGGACACAGACAGGCCAGUGACACACUAAACCCCCAGACCACCACCUCACAUCCAAACAGAGAGAUCAGUGUCGACGAGGAGGACUCCAGUCGGAAACAAGGCGGGGUCAUGGAGAUGGACAGACCUCCAUUUUAUCUAGGUCGCUGUCUGGUUAAAUGGGUUAUGGAGGCACAGGAGGAGGAAUAAGACGCAGGGAUAAGAAUAGAAUGAAAAAAUGAAAAGGCUUUUUAAUACAAGUAAAUGGGUUUUUCUGUGGAAAAAAACCAUGCUGGUGAAGGGAGGGGGGAGAACAAAGAGCUGGAAGGAGGCAGAGUGACGUACCAUGAGAGCAUGGGAGCAGUAAAUGAGGCCACUGGAGCUUGUUUUCCCUCUUCUUUUUCUCACCCCCUCUCUGUCCCUGUUUCUUCUGUAACCUUUACUGAUUAAUCCCCCUGAAUUGCUUUUUGCAUUCUCAAGACAAUGCAGAAUUCCUUCAGUGAUGACUCAGACUCCAUGUUUCUCUGUGGAGCGAGCUUGUUUUCAUAUCAUUCCUGGUUUGUUUUCUCGUCUGUGUCGCAGCUCCUGAUGGGUUUACCAUGUGUCCCAGAGGUCCAUGACAGGCGGCCCAGCGGCCCCAAUCCUACUCAAACUGUCAGAAUGUGAUGAAAUAUUCCCACAAUCCCUCCAUCAGAUGUUUCCCUGACUAUCUUGCUUCCCUGAGGUUUCGCAAAUCUAGCAGAAAAAAUAUCUGCAUAUAUAAAGUGGAGGAGGAUGAGUUGUGGCAACUUUUGGUGGAACACUGCGGUUGCCACAUUUUAGUCAAAAGUAGUGGCCAAAAUUGUCAUGAUUAUGAAUCAGUUCACACACUUUUGUGUGUAGCGAUGAUUUUAAAAGUGAUUUUCAAACAUGUUAAUCCUCUCAUAGACGAUUAAGUUUGGAUUAAAAGAUGCGCAUGAUGGCUGGGUUACCAGAAUCAUCAGACUGACCACACACAAGUUAAAUAUACAAGUUUCCUUGUUUAAUCCUCUGCUCCAGACCUGGAAUUUCCCAUGGUCUCCAGUUCAAAUCUCUAUUCAGUUCCACUGCUCCUUCUCCUAGCUACAGCCACUUGCCAUUCCUGUUGAGACACUCGUUCAUUAAUCUGUCCAACUAUUCACAUUUGAUUCCCACAAAGACAAACUCAAUUUCUAGAAUACAUUUCUAUCCUACAGAAUGUAUUGACACUUUAUGUGAAAUGAUUGAAGUUGCACCAUUAGUUUCCUAUUCAGGGAGCAGUAUUUAGCAGGAAGGAGGGCUCAAGUUGCGGAUCAUUCAUGUUCAUUUGGACUGAGAUAUCCAGCAGCAGCUGCAGUGUUUCUCCAGCAACACCUGUCACCAUGGUGCUGAGCUGUCAACAUGCCUCUGUGACGGUGUGAGACAGAUUCUGUGUGUGUCAGCUAUGAGCUCACGACACACACACACACACAUACUGGUACCAUUCACCUUAAAAGAAAAAAAUAAACAUAUGCCGACACUUUAUCCUCAUAAUGUGCUCUGAUUUCAGCGGUUUUAAUCUGGAUAGGGAGUUCCAUGUUGCCUUGACAACCGCUGUGGUGGCAGUGGAUUCUCGCUGUGCAGGGGGUGCGGUCUCUGUCGCUGGAGAGAGCUGGGUGGGGGUGUUAGAAGACAGCUUGUAUUAGGGAUUGGGGUUAUUUGGGAUGAGACGAGCAUGGGGGGGCUGAGCUGUCAAAUGGGCCAGAUGGUGCGGAAGUAGACUUCAAGCACAUUAAUAAAAUGAGUGCAUUAUUAUAUUACCACAUUUUCUCCAUAGCCUUUCCAUGACCUUGUGUAAAAUACUCUCAUUCACAUUACACACACAGUCGAUCUUUCCAUGCCUGCAACCCCGUCUGUCUGUCUUCCAUCCUCCCAGCUGAGAAAACAGGCGCGAGAACUCUUGGCAAAGGGGAUGAAGAGAGUGAGAAAAAGAGAACGAAGGAUAGAGAGAAGCUUUUCAGACGGAGUGAAAAAAGAGUACGGGGAUCUGAAAGGCACUAUUGUGUUCUUCUUCCACUGCCUCGUCUCUGCUUUGGUGCAGUCUGCCGCCAGAACAUCACAGUGUCUCUUUAAAUCAGGGCCGAGUUAGCAAUAGCAGCAUUCAGGCUCCAGUGCACCAGUGCACUUGCUCAAUGGCGACUGCGUCUCCUUUCAGUCGAAGUUGGCCGCAGACCCCGUCGCUGAAAUAACAAAUGAGAGAGGUGACUCGCAGAGAAUUCCAAAACAUGUGUCAUUAAUAAGACAUAAGAGAGAGUGAACAGUGCUGAGAGGACUUUUAGUGCAGGGAGAAGAGUUACUUCAUAACAUUGCAGUAGCUCCCAAUAUAUAACGCUGGAGUGACUACAUUUUUCUUACACAGAAUCUUUGUGUGUGUGCGUUGAGGUUAUCCGGGCGCAUCACAGACAUACUGAUCAACGCCAGAUCUUUAUGUGUGGGGUCUUUGACAGAAAAAAUAGUCCUUAUUUGUUUGGCCCCAUUUCUAUUCGAGGAUCUAAACUAGCCCCUCAUUGACAUCCGGACCACAGACCCUCAAUUUUGUCAGUCACUUUGGACAAAAGCAUCAGCUAAACAACCUUUAAUGUAAGAUAUACUGCCACCUAAAGGUGUAAAUCUGACAUCCUUUCAAGAUGCAUGAUGCCUGUCACCACCAGCUGACACCACACUGGCCUUUCUUGUGGAUUCAGAAUCUGGAUGAGAAGGAAAAACGGUCUUUGGCUUCAUUAAACUGGACGCAACAGCAAAUUCUUCUUUACCCUGAAACACCUCAUUAAAGUGUUUGUGAGCGACACAGACAGCCAAGUUUGAAAAGAAUGUGCUUUAUAAACAAUGUAUCCUCUCAGCUGUGUUAGAAAUGAAAGAACUGUGACACAAGAAUUGUUUAUGAAAAUCCAUAAACUCAGGGAGUGAUAAGAAAGAUGAAGUAAAAAGCCUGUGUCAUACAAACCAACUGUUUAAAAGAGAAACUUUGGCACCGUAAUAUUUGGCACACUAACUCGAAGUUUCUCAUUUGAUUUUGCCAGCGACAGAGUUUUCUCCAAAUAUUAAUAAUACUGGUCUCAGAGAGAAAACAAACAGUAGAUAAAGUUUCCAGUGAGGAUGUGUGUCCUCCUCCGACAUGUGGUGACCCGACAUGCUGCUGCUCUGAGGCAGCUGCAGGAUGGCGGGAAGGA